rnacentral:piRNA from 1 species
AGUGCUUUAACUGGACCUAUUUAGACA